GCCCAGGUGGCGAAAUUGGUAGACGCACCGUCUUCAGGUGGCGGCGCCGCAAGGCGUGCUGGUUCGAAUCCAGUCCUGGGCA
rnacentral:tRNA from 1 species